rnacentral:misc_RNA from 1 species
GUGAAUCAUCAAAUUUUUGAACGCAAAUUGCACUCUCUUCGGAGAGUAUGCCUGUUUGAGGGUCAGUAUUAAUAAAAAUCGGUGUGUUGCUUCUUUGUGACGCUCCGGGGUUUGGGUCAUCUUAAUAUCCUUUAGGUUUUAAGGGGUUUAAAUUUGAUUUUUUUUGCGCAUUUUAGUUGACAUUAAUUUUUUUUUUUAAUCCGUCUGUCUUAAUG